rnacentral:tRNA from 1 species
GGCAUAUUUGAAACUUAUGUUACGGCCAUAAGAUGGAUAAAGUUUUAUCGUAUGCUU